CUGGGAGGACCAUCUCCUAAGGCUAAAUACUCUCUAGUGACCGAUAGUGAACCAGUACCGUGAGGGAAAGGUGAAAAGCACCCCGGAAGGGGAGUGAAAUAGAACCUGAAACCGUGUGCUUACAAGUAGUCAGAGCCCGUUAAUGGGUGAUGGCGUGCCUUUUGUAGAAUGAACCGGCGAGUUACGAUUUGAUGCAAGGUUAAGCAGUAAAUGUGGAGCCGUAGCGAAAGCGAGUCUGAAUAGGGCGUUUAGUAUUUGGUCGUAGACCCGAAACCAGGUGAUCUACCCUUGGUCAGGUUGAAGUUCAGGUAACACUGAAUGGAGGACCGAACCGACUUACGUUGAAAAGUGAGCGGAUGAACUGAGGGUAGCGGAGAAAUUCCAAUCGAACCUGGAGAUAGCUGGUUCUCUCCGAAAUAGCUUUAGGGCUAGCCUCAAGUGAUGAUUAUUGGAGGUAGAGCACUGUUUGGACGAGGGGCCCCUCUCGGGUUACCGAAUUCAGACAAACUCCGAAUGCCAAUUAAUUUAACUUGGGAGUCAGAACAUGGGUGAUAAGGUCCGUGUUCGAAAGGGAAACAGCCCAGACCACCAGCUAAGGUCCCAAAAUAUAUGUUAAGUGGAAAAGGAUGUGGCGUUGCCCAGACAACUAGGAUGUUGGCUUAGAAGCAGCCAUCAUUUAAAGAGUGCGUAAUAGCUCACUAGUCGAGUGACACUGCGCCGAAAAUGUACCGGGGCUAAACAUAUUACCGAAGCUGUGGAUUGUCC
rnacentral:rRNA from 1 species